rnacentral:rRNA from 1 species
UACGUAGGUGGCAAGCGUUGUCCGGAUUUAUUGGGUUUAAAGGGUGCGUAGGCGGCUUUGUAAAUCAGUGGUGAAAUAUGGCAGCUCAACUGUCAAGGUGCCAUUGAUACUGCGGAGCUUGAGUACAGAUGAGGUAGGCGGAAUUGACGGUGUAGCGGUGAAAUGCUUAGAUAUCGUCAAGAACACCGAUAGCGAAGGCAGCUUACUAGGCUGUAACUGACGCUGAGGCACGAAAGUGUGGGGAUCAAACAGG